GAUGAACGCUGGCGGCGUGCCUAAUACAUGCAAGUCGAGCGAACGGACGAGAAGCUUGCUUCUCUGAUGUUAGCGGCGGACGGGUGGGUAACACGUGGAUAACCUACCUAUAAGACUGGGAUAACUUCGGGAAACCGGAGCUAAUACCGGAUAAUAUUUUGAACCGCAUGGUUCAAAAGUGAAAGACGGUCUUGCUGUCACUUAUAGAUGGAUCCGCGCUGCAUUAGCUAGUUGGUAAGGUAACGGCUUACCAAGGCAACGAUGCAUAGCCGACCUGAGAGGGUAGUCGGCACAACGGGAACGGAGACACGGUCCAGACCCCUAGGGGAGGCAGCAGUAGGAAAUCCUCCGCAAUGGGCGAAACCCUGACGGAGCAACGCCGGGGGGGUGAUGAAGGUCUUGGGAUCGUAAAACUCUGUUUUUAGGGAAAAACAUAUUUGUAAGUAACUGUGCACAUCUUGACGGUACUAUAUCAGAAAGCCACGGCUAACUAAG
rnacentral:rRNA from 1 species